CAUGCGAAGUAGCGUCAGACGGGGAAUUGGUAUGUUGCAAGUUCUACCAGUUCAUCGUCUGACGUUUAAGUUCCCAUG
rnacentral:pre_miRNA from 1 species